UACGUAGGUGGCAAGCGUUGUCCGGAAUUAUUGGGCGUAAAGCGCGCGCAGGUGGUUUCUUAAGUCUGGUGUGAAAGCCCACGGCUCAACCGUGGAGGGUCAUUGGAAACUGGGGAACUUGAGUGCAGGAGAGAAGAGUGGAAUUCCACGUGUAGCGGUGAAAUGCGUAGAGAUGUGGAGGAACACCAGUGGCGAAGGCAGCCCCCUGGGCUAACACUGACGCUCAGGCACGAAAGCGUGGGGAGCAAACAGG
rnacentral:rRNA from 1 species